rnacentral:rRNA from 1 species
UACGUAGGGUGCAAGCGUUAAUCGGAAUUACUGGGCGUAAAGCGCACGUAGGCGGAUCGUUAAGUCGGGGGUGAAAUCCUGGAGCUCAACUCCAGAACUGCCUUCGAUACUGGCGAUCUUGAGUCCGGAAGAGGUGAGUGGAAUUCCUGGUGUAGCGGUGGAAUGCGCAGAUAUCAGGAGGAACACCGAUGGCGAAGGCAGAUCUCUGGGCCGUAACUGACGCUGAGGAGCGAAAGCGUGGGGAGCGAACAGG